rnacentral:lncRNA from 1 species
GAGAGAGAGAAAAAUAGAGCUUAUAUGCAUAUGCUGAUAUGCAUAUAUACUUAAAAUUUACAACUUGUUGGGGAAGUGUACUACUAGUAGUUUAAGACUGAAACAUCACCUUUAAAUAUUUUGUAUUGGUAAAAAAAAAUAUUCUGUAAUUAUGUCUACCGUCUUGAGUUAACUUUAAGCGUUAAAAUACUUAAAUGGAUUGAUUGCGAUCGUCUUAUUCCAAUG